rnacentral:tRNA from 1 species
UCCCUGGCAGUCCAGUGGUUAGGACUUGGCACUCUAAUUGCCAAGGCCCUGGUUCAAUCCUUGAUCAGGGAA